rnacentral:rRNA from 1 species
UACGUAGGGGGCAAGCGUUGUCCGGAUUUAUUGGGCGUAAAGAGCGUGUAGGCGGCCAGGUAGGUCAGCCUGUGAAAACUCGAGGCUCAACCUCGAGACGCCGGUUGAAACCAUCUGGCUAGAGUCCGGAAGAGGAGAGUGGAAUUCCUGGUGUAGCGGUGAAAUACGCAGAUAUCAGGAAGAACACCCGUGGCUAAGGCGGCUCUCUAGUAGCGGUACUGACGCUGAGACGUCGAAAGCGUGGGGAGCGAACAGG